AUUGCCAUCACAAUGGGCUCUGCUGCCAUGUCAUAGCUGGGGUUAGCUUUGUGCUGGGUUUGGGGCUAGCCUUCACACUUACAGGCCGACUUUGCUUCUUCCAGUGAGGAGGAACUGUUGGAUAAAGGGCAGUGGUGCUUGCAGUGUGGGCAAGAGGGAAGGCAGAAGCAAACGAUCCAUGAACUUGACAACUGUCCCGGCUUUGGCGUGCACAGUGAGAUUGUAUAUUAAGUAGAAAAAGAAAACAAAGCAGGUAGACGGUAUAAAUCAAUGAAGAGAUAGCAUACAGAUAGUCUUCUUGUUGUUUUAAGGCAGGAUCUUUUGUGUCUCUUACUGACUUUGAACUUCUGAUCUUCCUGACUCUACCUCCUUUGUCCUGGGAUCAAAGUACCAUUUAUGCAGUGCCCAGGGGUCAAACCUAGGACUUUCUUCUGUAUGCCAAGCAAGGACCCUACCAACUGAGCAGCAUCCCCAGCCCAGAAAGAUUUUUUUUCUUUGUAAGAACCCCACAUGACCAUCAAAUGGGCGGAGGGGUAGUGAACAAAGGCUUAGAAUUUGUUCAGCAAAAAAUGUGGAAAUACAUGUGCCUUGUUCAGAACGCAAGGCUGUGAAUAAGCGACAGGACUGGAGUGUAUGUAGGUUGGUGACAGGGUGCACGUGUAAGAUCCUGGAUUGAUUUCCCAACAUCAGACACUUUCCGAGAAGAGGACAGGGCACUUUGGACAGGUGGACUUAGUUUUCAGAGGCACAAAGUCUGGAAUGUGCUGGGAGAUUGAAAACAAAUGGAAAUAGUCCUGUUUGGACAGAGCUGAGGGCCUGACAGGGAACUGGAGGCUCGCUCCUCCUUUAAAGAUCUCUCAGACCUAAGAACAACAACAAAAAUAACGAACAAGGGGUGUAGCUGGCUGUCCAUGACUCUGGCCACUAGUAUCUCAGUUUAUAUGGAUUACACAGAAUGAGAGUUUACCCAUUUCCACACGUCGUUAUCAACUCUCCAUGAAGUUCAAAAGGACAAAAGAUGAAAGCGGACUCGGCUAGCUUUCCGUGGUAUUUCCACGUGCAUGUGGGGACUUUCCUUUGAGACAAGGCUGGGGUGGGGGCCAAUAAUAUCUGGUAUCACCUGACUGCUAAUACCAAGCUGAUGAGAAGGUGACUACCACAACAACCUCUGAUUAAACCCAGCGGCACCCUCCCACCCUCGCCCGCGAUCAGGAAUUUUCCUGCUCCUCCCGCCCUCUCAGAAGGGGCUGAGGCAGCAUUUGGCAGGAAAAAGCUAACAUUUUUGUCGUGAUUUCCUCUCUCUCAGGCGCUCGGACAUGGACCCUUUCUCAGGGGAUCAGGUAUUCCGGGUCCCUUCUAAUUCUCUUUGCAUUUCUAAAUUGAGAAUCUUUGUCACCGGCUCCUCGCAUCCCAGGUCUCCCCCACUUUUCCUCGCAGGCCUGUGACUCGCCUCGGUGUGCAAAAUGCCGGUGACUCACGUCUUGCACAGCCUUCGCCCCCAAAAACACAAUCAUCACCCCCAGGAUCUAGCCCACAUAGCAUCGUCAACCCGCCCCAGCAGCCUUGGAGGUCUCCGGGCUGAGUCACACCAGAGGACCACCCUGGUCGGCAUCCACACACACGCGGUCCCUGCUCAUGGCUUCCGCGCCCGCCACACCAACGCCCUUCCAUUUCUCACAACUUGCUACGCUCCAGCUCCAAUCCUCGACCCCCCUCCACAACCCAAAUCUCCGGGAAACACAGAGCCGGCGGAGCUGGCCUCGGGCGGCCUUUGAUGGCUUUGUUAUUGUUUGGGUUUGAAUCGAUACGCCCCUCCCCAUCCUUCCUCCCCCGGCCGCGCGCGCCACCCAAGCUCCCGCCUCCCUGCACGCCCAGCGCCCCUCCCCCUCCGUUUUGGCGCCUUUUCCUUCCCGCCACGUCGUGGCGGCGUUAGCGACCAUUCUGACCGCGAGGCGAGAGGCGGGGCCCGCAACGCCUUAUGCAAAUAGAGCGUCUUCUGGUUGGCUGAAGCCGCGC